GUCACACAAGUCAGAUGGAGAGAACUCUGCCUUGCUACAGCUGCUCCCAUUUGAGAGGGAGCACAAAACUUGACCCUUGAACUCUGACCAUUAUCUCCAUUCAAAGGUCACCCCGCUGACAGUGAGGUUAAGGCAACAGCCCCACAGACCCAGGAGCUGGAUCAUCACAGCCUGAACAGUCCCAGAAAGAAAGGAAGAAAAAUGGCAUGUUUGGGAUGAGAAAUAUGCAGCUAGACCAAUCUCCACACCUUUCAGGCCAUGCUUCAGGCAGUGCUCCAUGACAACAAAGAACUGCUGCAAAGCUGCUGGGGACUGACCAGCUCUGCCAGGGCAGCAGCAGCACAGCAUCCCCGGGACAGGUGGAGGCUGGCAGCAACAGCAGCCUUUCUGCACGCAUCCUGCUUUUUUAUUAGCUGUGCUACUGACGGUAUCAAAUACAAGUGUUAGUGGAGGAAACGCCUUGCUCAAUGCAGGCUUCAGAUUUAGAAUUUAACAUCGCGUGUGAAAUCCUAAAUCCCAGCUGCCGCUCGGGUACCGUAUGGGGCAUUACAGAGAGCAGAACAAGGGGUACUACAGACAGCAGAACAAGCUCUGCAGGGCUCUCCUCCCCGAAGCAGCAGCAGCAGCCCCCGACAGGGCUGUUCGCAGGUAACACCAGCGACCAGCAUCGCCAGCAUCACCGGCUCCGA